GACGAACGCUGGCGGCGUGCUUAACACAUGCAAGUCGAACGAUGAAGUUCCUUCGGGAAUGGAUUAGUGGCGAACGGGUGAGAAACACGUGAGAAACCUGCCUUUCAUUUUGGGAUAACUCCGGGAAACCGGAGCUAACACCGAAUACUCCGUCUCGGCGGCAUCGCUGAGCCGGGAAAAAAUUUUGAUGAAAGAUGGUCUCGCGGCCUAUCAGCUAGUUGGUGAGGUAAUGGCUCACCAAGGCGACGACGGGUAGCCGGCCUGAGAGGGCGACCGGCCACACUGGGACUGAGACACGGCCCAGACUCCUACGGGAGGCAGCAGUGGGGAAUAUCGGGCAAUGGGCGCAAGCCUGACCCAGGGACGCCGCGUGAGGGAUGAAGGCCUUCGGGUUGUAAACCUCUUUCAGUAGGGAAGAAGCGAAAGUGACGGUACCUAAAGAAGAAGCACCGGCUAACUAUGUGCCAGCAGCCGCGGUAA
rnacentral:rRNA from 1 species